rnacentral:tRNA from 8 species
GCGAAAGUGGCGGAAUUGGUAGACGCGCUGGAUUUAGGUUCCAGUAUCGCAAGAUGUGAGAGUUCGAGUCUCUCCUUUCGCACCA